AGAGGACAUUUCCCACUUCUACACUCCACAUGGUUUUGGCCUUGCCGGAAGAGGUCACAAAGUGGCUUUGGAAUUCACUCACACAACAUGAGGGUACUUUGCACAGGUAGAGAAUGGUUGAAAUACACACUACCUGAAGCUGGAUAACUCAUGAACUCUGUUGACAAUUAUAUUCUUUGUCUUUUUAAUUAACUCAUUUGGAGUUGGUGUCCUGAGGACCUAAGCCUAAGAAUCUUCAAGAUGGAAGAGUAGAGUGAACAAUGAAUGAGCCAGAGGGCUCUUGUCCUCUGUGUGCAGCUCUGGGCAGCCAGCAGGUGGAUAUGGGACUUGGCCUGCUGGAGGGGCCCUGGCAAGAGGAGCUGGCAGGAGCAGAUGGCAAAGAUCCUUCUACUAUAACCCGGGGAGAUGGAGAACAUCUGUUUGGGGCAUCCUUUUGUUGGAACGACUAACUCUGCCGUAAGGAAAAGGAUGAAAGAUUAGCAUAAAGUUUGCUAAUCAGAGGACAGGCAUUCAUAUCCUGGCUUCACUACUUGUUGUGUGAUCUUAGACAAGUUGCUAAACCAUUCUCUCUGCCUUAGAUUUUUCAUCUGCAAAAUGGUUCUACUCAUGAUACUAAAAUCAUGGUGCCAUUGUGAGCAUUAAGUGAGAUGAUGCAUUGCAAAGCACUUUAACCUAGUUCUUUAAUAAAUGUGAGAUGGAAAGAAAAGGAGAAGUAGAGAAAGAUAAAAAGUUAGAUUACUCUGACAUUGAAAAAUGCAAUUAUUUGAGAACAGAUAAAGUGGGAGACCCUAUUUGGAGAUUUUAGCAAAGAGAGCAAAGAUAGUCAUACAUGUUGGGUUGAAUAAUAAUGUAUCUAUCACACUAUCUUUCACUACGUGUCAUAGUCUAUAUCAUUCUAAAAUUAUCUUGCCCAUUUGUUACUUCCUUAUUGCCUGUCUUUCUCCACUAGAAUGUAAAAUCCUAGAGGGAUGGGCCGUAUCUGUGUCAUUCAUUACUAUACCCCCAGUACCUAGAAGAAUCUUUGGCACAUAGUAAGUAUUCAAUAAAUAAUUGUUCAAUGGAAGAAAAAA
ensembl:lncRNA LINC01705 long intergenic non-protein coding RNA 1705